AGGAAGGUGGGAAUCCUUCCGGCCGAAUAUCCAAGGUUUCCAGGGUAAAGCUGAUCUGCCCUGGGUAAGUCGGGGCCUAAGGCCAGGUCGAAAGACGUAGCCGAUGGACAACAGGUUGAGAUUCCUGUACUGCGAUAUGACAGAACUGUGGGGACGCAUGUGGAAAGCAUAAGCACGGAAUGGAAAGCCGUGUACAAGCGAGGUAGGAGCCAUGUAGGAAAAUCCGCGUGGCAAUCCGAAGACGUGAUGUGGACCGAACUUUCAGUAGGGAAGUAUGUGAGCCAUGUGCCGGGAAAAGCCGCUAUUGUUCAUACCGCACCCGUACCGUAAACCGACACAGGUGGAUGAGGAGAGAAUCCUAAGGCCGACGGAAGAAGCAUUGUUAAGGAACUCGGCAAAAUAGCCCCGUAACUUCGGGAGAAGGGGUGCCUGGGAAGCCAGGCCGCAGAGAAUAGGCUCAAGCAACUGUUUAGCAAAAACACAGGUCUAUGCAAAACCGAAAGGUGAGGUAUAUGGGCUGACGCCUGCCCGGUGCUGGAAGGUUAAGAGGAGAGCUUAGCGCAAGCGAAGGUUUGAAUUUAAGCCCCAGUAAACGGCGGCCGUAACGAUAACGGUCCUAAGGUAGCGAAAUUCCUUGUCGGGUAAGUUCCGACCCGCACGAAAGGCGUAAUGAUUUGAGCGCUGUCUCGACAAUGCAUCCGGUGAAGUUGAAGUACCAGUGAAGAUGCUGGUUACCUGCGCCAGGACGGAAAGACCCCAUGGAGCUUUACUCCAGCUUGACACUGGGAUUCGGUAAUGCAUGUACAGGAUAGGUGGGAGGCAGAGAAAUGAGGACGCCAGUCUUCAUGGAGCCGCUGUUGGGAUACCACCCUUGCGUUAUUGGAUUUCUAACCUGCCGCCGUUAGCCGGCGGGGGGACAAUGUCUGGCGGGGAGUUUGACUGGGGCGGUCGCCUCCGAAAGUGUAUCGGAGGCGCCCAAAGGUUCCCUCAGAAUGGUUGGAAACCAUUCGAAGAGUGCAAAGGCAGAAGGGAGCUUGACUGCGACACCGACGGGUGGAGCAGGUACGAAAGUAGGGCUUAGUGAUCCGGUGGUAUUAAGUGGGAAUGCCAUCGCUCAACGGAUAAAAGCUACCCUGGGAUAACAGGCUUAUCACUCCCAAGAGUUCACAUCGACGGAGUGGUUUGGCACCUCGAUGUCGGCUCAUCGCAUCCUGGGGCUGUAGUAGGUCCCAAGGGUUGGGCUGUUCGCCCAUUAAAGCGGUACGCGAGCUGGGUUCAGAACGUCGUGAGACAGUUCGGUCCCUAUCCGGCGCGGGCGUAGGAUAUUUGAGAGGAGCUGCCCUUAGUACGAGAGGACCGGGGUGGACUGACCUCUGGUGUACCGGUUGUCAUACCAAUGGCACGGCCGGGUAGCCAAGUCGGGCAGGGAUAAACGCUGAAGGCAUCUAAGCGUGAAGCCCCCCUCAAGAUGAGAUAUCCCAAGACCCCUUGAAGAACACGAGGUAGAUAGGACAGAGGUGGAAGUACAGUAAUGUAUGGAGCUGACUGUUACUAAUCGGUCGCAAGCUUAUC
rnacentral:rRNA from 1 species